CAUUGGUAAAACAACUUCCUUGUGGUUAAUCUGGACCGAUUCCCCUUACGGAAACGGGUUCCAUUUAAGCACUAUCUUGAUGCCGUUCCUUUCUCUUUUGGCUCCGAUCUUAGAUUCGUUACCUUUCACCCUUGCCUUGGUCCCUGUUAUUCGCUGCUUUUUCGCGCGGCGUUCCCUUUUUUGCUGUUCUUCAACCCUUUGAAAUAUUGCAGGAUGCUCGCACCUCCUCCUUGUGUCAAAAGGAUUUUAUCAGAUAAUGCUGCGGUGGUCCUUCCUUCUCUAACUGGGAGGAGGGAGAGAUCUUCGUCACUCCCAUAGCGGUCGCCAUGGAUACCAAGAAGCUUCAGAACAAGGAGAAGAAGUCUAAGAGGAAAGAGGUUCUUGAAAAGAGAAAAGCAAUUGAUGGCAUAAUAAAAGCUGCAUCAGCUGAAGCUGACCAUCUUGCUUUUUUUCAGCCCUUUCAGAAGUUUGAUAGGAAUGGACUCACACUAUGUCUGGAGUCAGGAAUUGGUGACCAACUUUCUUCUCCUAUGAAAAAGUACAUUCAGUGUCUGUUAAAGCUUAAUAUGGAAGGUCCAUAUGGACCAGAAUGGCCUGCUGAAGAGAAGAUCAAACGCAGAGAAAUGGUUGCUCCUGAAGCACGUUAUAUAUUUAUCCGAAGAGCCAGAGGAACAGUUGCUAAAGAAACUCUCAACGAUGAUUCAGAUGAAUGCCAAAUCCACUGGAUGGCAGAUGGAGAUUCAGUUGUGGGGUUUGUACAGUAUCGCUUUAUUGUGGAGGAGGACAUACCUGUUACAUAUGUUUAUGAACUUCAGUUGGAGCCCUGUGUGCAAGGGAAGGGGUUAGGCAAGUUCCUGAUGCAACUCAUUGAGCUUAUUGCUCGAAAGAAUCGAAUGGGUGCUGUUAUGCUUACAGUUCAGAAGGCAAAUGUGUCAGCCAUGCAUUUCUACACAAGUAAACUUAGAUACACAAUUUCGACCAUUUCACCUUCGCGAGUUGAUCCUCUGGUGUGUAGCAUCUCAACUAGAGGAACAUCCUGUUAACAAUCAAUAGGAGCUGAGAAGAGUUAUGAAAUACUGUGCAAAACAUUCCAUCCUGAAGCUAAAGACAAAUUAGAGGGAAACAGCUUUACAGGUGAAGCACACCAUUGAUCCUAAAGUUAAACCAUGGGCAUCUCAACUUUUUCACACAGUAGGUGAUGGUUCCAUCUGAAGCUCUUAUCAGGUCAAUGUCAAGUGGCGUGUAUUCUUUUCCACAAUGUGCAUAUAUAGUUGUCUUAAUCAAGGCAAAAGAUUUUGUUUACGAAGACUCAACCUUGGUAUAAUGAAGUGAACAUUGACAGGCAUUGUACAAAUUAAGUCAACCUGCUGACAUGAUAUCUGUUCACAUACAUAUUGAAGUCCUUGGCAAAUUUUGUGACGAGAACACUUCCCUGUUCUGUUCAACAUAAACCUCCUGCGCUGUUACCAGUUAUUCUGAGUU